rnacentral:rRNA from 1 species
CGUAGGGUCCAAGCGUUAUCCGGAAUCACUGGGCGUAAAGCGUGCGUAGGUGGGAAUUUAAGUGUGAUGUUAAAUCGUGUGGCUCAACCAUAUCGAUGCAUCGCAUACUGGGGUUCCUAGAGGACGGCAGAGGCAAGUGGAAUUAGCAGUGUAGCAGUGAAAUGCGUAGAUAUUGCUAGGAACACCAAUGGCGAAGGCAGCUUGCUGGGCCACUCCUGACACUGAGGUACGAAAGCGUGGGGAGCGAACAGGAUUAGAUACCCUGGUAGUCCACGCCCUAAACGAUGUCAACUGGUUGUUGGGUCUUUACUGGACUCAGUAACGAAGCUAACGCGUGAAGUUGACCGCCUGGGGAGUACGGCCGCAAGGUUG